UUGAACGCUGGCGGCAGGCCUAACACAUGCACGUCGCACGGUAACAGGAAGAAGCUUGCUUCUUUGCUGACGAGUGGCGGACGGGUGAGUAAUGUCUGGGAAACUGCCUGAUGGAGGGGGAUAACUACUGGAAACGGUAGCUAAUACCGCAUAACGUCGCAAGACCAAAGAGGGGGACCUUCGGGCCUCUUGCCAUCGGAUGUGCCCAGAUGGGAUUAGCUAGUAGGUGGGGUAACGGCUCACCUAGGCGACGAUCCCUAGCUGGUCUGAGAGGAUGACCAGCCACACUGGAACUGAGACACGGUCCAGACUCCUACGGGAGGCAGCAGUGGGGAAUAUUGCACAAUGGGCGCAAGCCUGAUGCAGCCAUGCCGCGUGUAUGAAGAAGGCCUUCGGGUUGUAAAGUACUUUCAGCGGGGAGGAAGGGAGUAAAGUUAAUACCUUUGCUCAUUGACGUUACCCGCAGAAGAAGCACCGGCUAACUCCGUG
rnacentral:rRNA from 1 species